rnacentral:sRNA from 1 species
CAGAAGCUGUUCCAAGCACUUUAUUUGCUUUAUCUCAGCUCCUCUCAGCAACCCUAUGGGGUAGGGGAUAUGGUAUCCCUGUUGUGUAGACAUGGAAGCUGAGGCUCAGAGUUUACAUGCAAGGGUACUUUAGCUACCAGGCUGACUCCAAAAUCCAUAUUCAUAAGUGCUAGACUGUUCAGCUACUAUAAAUCCCUGUAAAGUGGUGUCACUAGCUUGCAGGACCAGGAUCAAAACAAAACAAACGGCCCCUUCAGAAAUCUUGCCUUCAUUUGUUGCCACCAUGGAUGCAAGUAAUUUUUCUUUUUGGCAGGUGCUGUGCUCUUGGCUCAGUAACAGCCCAAAUUAUGAGGAGAUCACCAAGUGGUACCUGGGUUGGAAGUCUAUGUUCUCAGACCAAGUGCUGGCACACCCAUCUGUCAAGGACAAAUUUAAUGAGGCACUUGAUAUCAUGAACCGGGCGGUGUCCUCCAACGUUGGUGCCUACAUGCAGCCAGGAGCGCGGGAGAACAUUGCCUAUCUCACCCACACGGAGCGGAGGAAGGACUUCCAGUAUGAGGCCAUGCAGGAGAGGCGGGAGGCUGAGAACAUGGCUCAGAGGGGCAUUGGCGUGGCUGCCAGCUCUGUGCCCAUGAACUUUAAGGACCUCAUUGAGACCAAGGCUGAGGAGCACAACAUUGUCUUCAUGCCCGUCAUUGGGAAGCGACACGAAGGGAAGCAGCUCUACACCUUUGGCCGCAUUGUGAUCUACAUCGACCGGGGAGUGGUCUUUGUCCAGGGCGAGAAGACGUGGGUGCCCACCUCACUGCAGAGCCUGAUCGACAUGGCCAAGUGAACUGUGGCAGGUCCAGAACCAGCCAGAGACUUGCCCCUGAGAGGGAUCUAUUGUAAAUAAACAGUAUUUUAGAUCACCUUCAAAA